AUGUUCUUCCUGAAGUAGCACCCCAGUAUAUAGAUGUUGCGACUUGUACACCUCGCCUCUCCAAGAUACCUUGAAGGACCUAUCUGAGAGGUAAGACUCAAACCACUGGCGUGCAGUUCC